rnacentral:rRNA from 1 species
AUUGAACGCUGGCGGCAUGCCUUACACAUGCAAGUCGAACGGCAGCACGGGAGCAAUCCUGGUGGCGAGUGGCGAACGGGUGAGUAAAGCAUCGGAACGUGCCCAGUCGUGGGGGAUAACGUAGCGAAAGUUACGCUAAUACCGCAUACGAUCUGUGGAUGAAAGCGGGGGACCGUAAGGCCUCGCGCGAUUGGAGCGGCCGAUGUCAGAUUAGGUAGUUGGUGGGGUAAAGGCUCACCAAGCCGACGAUCUGUAGCUGGUCUGCGAGGACGACCAGCCACACUGGGACUGAGACACGGCCCAGACUCCUACGGGAGGCAGCAGUGGGGAAUUUUGGACAAUGGGCGCAAGCCUGAUCCAGCCAUGCCGCGUGCAGGAUGAAGGCCUUCGGGUUGUAAACUGCUUUUGUACGGAACGAAACGGUGCCCUCUAAUACAAGGCGCUAAUGACGGUACCGUAAGAAUAAGCACCGGCUAACUACGUGCCAGCCGCCGCAGUAAAAC